AUUCCAUCGCCUAUAAAAGGGAUUCAAAUCGAUCGUACUGCACAUUCGAGUUCGACGGUUGACAAGAUUCAAAUCAAACUACUUCGAAGCAAAUUAUUUUCUGGACAGAAAAAAAACUACGACGAAAGCGAUGAAUGUUCACGCAUACUACGAAUGCCACUGCGGCAAGAAGUACGACACAAUUAACCACGAGAAAGGUCAAAAUCGCCCGUGCCCAAGUUGCAAUGCAAACAACUCUCCUACUCGUGAAGUAGUGUCCGAUGAUAGUACCGUCAGAAACUAAUCAUCAAAUCAACUUAAUUGAAAUCAUUUAUGAAUUAUUUCAAUUUUACAACACUGUUUUGUCAACAAUAUGAUAUUCAAUAAAAUUUAAUAUCUUUUGGCAAAACGCCAGCGAAAA